GGGUGCCUGGCUGGGGGCUGCAGAGCGCCUGGCUCAGGUGUCUGCCUGUGGGAUGCUGCUGUGCUGGGAACUGUGCUGCAAAAACACCCUUUGGUGGAGGUUGAAUGUAGAUCCAGAGGGUUAAUUAUAAGCGCUCGCAUUUCUGAUGUGUUCUGUAGGUGCAGAGUUGUGUAAUUGGAGGGAAAAUUACAGUGCAAGCCGUGCACUGUAUUAAUUUACAACUAGUUAACAACAACUAAGGGCAGUUUGAAAACAGUUGUAUAGGCGAGCAGACAGCAGCUCGAGCAUGCAGGUAGAUGCAUCAGGUUCCCCUUUUUAACCAAGUAGAAACCAGGAAAAAUGGUUUUUUGUUGGUUUAUUUAUUUAUUCAUUUAUUUGAGAUGGUAUUAGGAAGCUUUUCUCCACUCUUUAGAAACAAAUCCCUUCAGACAAAGGAGAAGAAGCACCAGGCACAUGUAGGCAAUUUCUGGUGCCUCAGACCUCGCAAGAGGGGCUCCUCAGGGCCUCCUUCCAGGCUUUGCAUGGCCCACGCUGGAAUUAAGCCUUUAUAAGUUUUCUUUCAACAAACCUACAGCGGGGCUUACUCAUGCAGUUUGCUGUUUCUGAAUGAAGUCACGCAUACCACGUUCAUGUUUGUGUUAAAAUACUGGAAAGCGUUUCCCUUUUCCUUAUAGGAAAACUGCAUACAUGACCUGCAGUACAGCUAUUUCCAACGCUCGGCUCCUCGGGAAGAGGAGCUGUGCCAACUCUGCCCAGCAGCACAGAGCACAGCCUCCUUGAUUUCAGCGCAUCCGAGAUCCUCUCCUCGGGGAUCAGGUGUCCAUAACUCCACGGCUGCAGUUCAUUCUCUUGAGCCUCCGAUACCUGCAAAAGCUGCUUUUAUGUUUCCUUAGGACAAAAUGAAGGCAGGAUCCAAAAAAAAGACUCCGAGGUCGAAAAAAAACACUCACUGCCAUAUGUUUGUGCUGUUGGCAUCACCGCAGUGAUCCAGGUGCUCGUGUGCUGAGAACCUCUGCACUGCCUGCGCUGACAUCCUGGAUUGCUGCAGAGACACAGGUACAGGUGGGAUCAGUGACACCAGUGCUGCAGUCUGUGUGCAGUGAGGCACAGCUCCCAGCCCUGCUGGCACUGCUCACCGCUCGCCAAUAGCACAGGAGGUGAUCUGAAAACUGAGAACGUUUAGGGCUACUAAACCUCACCCUGUGACCCUGUGUGUUGUGAACGACCUCACUGGUUUCUUUUUACUCACGUCCUAGCGGAGGCAUGGGAUCUGUUUCCCUCAGUACUGUUUUGUUUCAGUUUUUUUCCCUUAAAUGGCCACAGCCUUGUUACUGCUGAGCCUCAGAAGACAAUCAUGCCUGCAGUAUUUUCAUCCUGUCAGCUGGUGCUGGAUUUCAAAACAGGAUGCCCACUUUUCCCCCCAUUAUUCACAGCAGUGAGAUGCAGAAUCCUGAGCUUUUGUUUUCAGUUGGUUACACGGGUCCAACCUGUGAUUCACUCUUCCUGCAGCCACGUUUCCAGGAAAAGACAAUGCCGUGGCUCCUCUCCAAGUCACCCGCAGGCUGCCGGAGGCUCAGGCAGGAGAGCGCUCCUGUGCCUGCAGCCGGGACACUUUCUAAGAAGGGCUGAAGGGACGAGGCCUCAGGCCAGGGCUGCCGUUAUCUCCCAGCAAACAACCAAGGAGGCACACGGCCUUGGGAAAGCACAUGAGGCACAGAGUCAAGGUGCAGAUAAGAGCAGAAUGUACAGGAUUUAAAAUUCUCGCCCCUGUGAAGCACAACAAGCAUCUGCAAAGAGCUGGUCUCUGCUCCUGGCACUGAGGCUGGCUGCCAAGCUGAUGGCUUAAGGACCUGCACUGUCCUUCCAGACAUUCAGGGAGACUCCUGGCUGCUCCAUGCCGUUGGUGUGGGCUAUAAUGCCUACAGAUAUUGGAGGUUCCCAAGAGUUGUUCAGACAGCAGCUGGUAGUGAUGGCUUCUGGCUCCGCAAUCAGGGAUAAAGCUUCUCAUGGCUCUGUAUGGUGGAGCCUGGGCUGGAGAGCUGUGUGGCUGUGCGCUCCAGCACUUGGCUUCUGCAGGAGUCAAACACAAAUGCAAGUGGAUCUGCUGGCACGGAACCGCUGUGGGGAAGGCCUGGGCUGGGCAGCUCUCGUCUGCAAACAGUGCCAGCAGGCAGCGACUCAUGUGUGGGGCAAACAGGCCAAGUGCAGAGCAGAACCACCCGGAGCAGAACUGGGUGGGCUCCAGUAAGCGGCCCUUUGGGCUCCCCGUGUGUGCAGCAAGAGGGAAUCCGGUGCUUUGUGUUUUCAGAAUAAACCACUGCUCCAUCCCCACGUUUGGGGAAUACGGGUUGCCGCUGUCACCGUGAUCUGCCUUCAUCCUGGAGCCCUGCCCGGCCCUGGGGCUGCUGGAAGCUCUCCUGGCGGCUACAGCCGCUCCCCCAGAGGGCUCCUGUUUGGGUUCGUUUCCCAGCUUGUGGAAGGUCCAAAGGUGAUCUCUGGGAACAGAGCUGAAGGCCUGUGGAGCGGCCCGCGUGCUGACGGUGAGCACGCAGCUCAGGAGGGCCCCUGCGCGGUGUUAACACCAGCCAGGGUGUCAGUCCCAGCCAGAACCCUGGGCUGCUGCUUUGCGCGUUCUUUUUAGGUCACAUUUUCUCCGUGAACACAAACGGAAGGGAAUUACUUUCUGUCCUCACAAAGCGAGGUUCGCGUUUGGAAGGCCCAACCAACUCCACGCAGAACAUCCCGAGGCCGCUGCGCUCGCCCUCAGCCCGGCGUGCAGCGGGAGGGCCGCACCCCCAGCACAGCGAUGGGCGUUGGUGCGAUGGGAACCGCUGACUCACGGGGGUAAAUCAAGCGAGAUGGCAGAAGGGUGGCACAGGAAAAGGAUGGGACCGGCGGUAAAUCA
rnacentral:lncRNA from 1 species